rnacentral:rRNA from 1 species
AUUGAACGCUGGCGGCAGGCCUAACACCUGCAAGUCGAACGAGUGGCGGACGGGUGAGUAAUGUCUGGGAAACUGCCCGAUGGAGGGGGAUAACUACUGGAAACGGUAGCUAAUACCGCAUACCAUCGGAUGUACCCAGAUGGGAUUAGCUAGUAGGUGGGGUAACGGCUCACCUAGGCGACGAUCCCUAGCUGGUCUGAGAGGAUGCCCAGCCACACUGGAACUGAGAAACGGUCCAGACUCCUACGGGAGGCAGCAGUGGGGAAUAUUGCACAAUGGGCGCAAGCCUGAUGCAGCCAUGCCGCGUGUAUGAAGAAGGCCUUCGGGUUGUAAAGUACUUUCAGCGAGGAGGCGUGACUCGCAGAAGAAGCACCGGAUAACUCCGUGCCAGCAGCCGCGGUAAUUC